UACGUAGGGCGCAAGCGUUGUCCGGAAUUAUUGGGCGUAAAGAGCUCGUAGGCGGUUUGUCGCGUCUGCUGUGAAAACCUAAGGCUCAACCUUGGGCUUGCAGUGGGUACGGGCAGACUAGAGUGCGGUAGGGGUGACUGGAAUUCCUGGUGUAGCGGUGGAAUGCGCAGAUAUCAGGAGGAACACCGGUGGCGAAGGCGGGUCUCUGGGCCGUAACUGACGCUGGAGGAGCGAAAGCAUGGGGAGCGAACAGG
rnacentral:rRNA from 1 species